rnacentral:misc_RNA from 1 species
GAUGAAGAACGUAGCGAAAUGCGAUACGUAAUGUGAAUUGCAAAUUCAGUGAAUCAUCGAGUCUUUGAACGCACAUUGCGCCCCCUGGUAUUCCGGGGGGCAUGCCUGUCCAAGCGUCAUUGCUGCCCUCAAGCACGGCUUGUGUGUUGGGCCCCGUCCUCCGAUCCCGGGGACGGGCCCGAAAGGCAGCGGCGGCACCGCGUCCGGUCCUCGAGCGUAUGGGGCUUUGUCACCCGCUCUGUAGGCCCGGCCGGCGCUUGCCGAUCAACCCAAAUUUUUUAUCCAGGUUGACCUCGGAUCAGGUAGGGAUACCCGCUGAACUUAAGCAUAUCAAUAAGCGGAGGA